rnacentral:rRNA from 1 species
AACGAACGCUGGCGGCAGGCCUAACACAUGCAAGUCGAACGCCGUAGCAAUACGGGGUGGCAGACGGGUGAGUAACGCGUGGGAACAUACCCCUCGGUUCGGAAUAACUCAGGGAAACUUGAGCUAAUACCGGAUACGUCCGAGGUUUUAAUCGAUCUCGGAGAAAGAUUUAUCGCCGGAGGAUUGGCCCGCGUCUGAUUAGCUUGUUGGUGAGGUAAUGGCUCACCAAGGCGACGAUCAGAGCUGGUCUGAGAGGAUGAUCAGCCACAUUGGGACUGAGACACGGCCCAAACUCCUACGGGAGGCAGCAGUGGGGAAUAUUGGACAAUGGGCGAAAGCCUGAUCCAGCCAUGCCGCGUGAGUGAUGAAGGCCUUAGGGUUGUAAAGCUCUUUUACCCGGGAAGAUAAUGACGGUACCGGGAGAAUAAGCCCCGGCUAACUUCGUGCCAGCAGCCGCCGUAAU